ACGUAGGGUGCGAGCGUUAAUCGGAAUUACUGGGCGUAAAGCGUGCGCAGGCGGAUUGUUAAGCAAGACGUGAAAUCCCCGGGCUUAACCUGGGAAUGGCGUUUUGAACUGGCAGUCUAGAGUGCGUCAGAGGAGGGUGGAAUUUCACGUGUAGCAGUGAAAUGCGUAGAGAUGUGGAGGAACACCAAUGGCGAAGGCGACUCUUUGGGAUGUCACUGACGCUGAGGCACGAAAGCGUGGGGAGCAAACCG
rnacentral:rRNA from 1 species